CGGCAGCAGCAGCGUCUGCUGCGUUGCGAUCUAAACCUCUGAAAUAUACCGGUGAGGAUGGCAAUAUCAUUGUGGAGGAUGAGUUUCUGAACUUUCUAGUCAUUAAAAUGAAAACGAUGGGACAGGAUGAACUGAUAUUGUUGACUACAAGCCAUUUCUCGUCUGAGAGGAUUGCAAGUUCAAGAAAAGUCCUGUUUGAACUAUGUCCAGAAACCACUCAGCGCUACAUUCAGCACAGGGGGGAUCAAAAGGACGUGAACAAUGUCAAGAGUUGCAUUGGGCUACUUAAUGAGCUGGGAGACAAAGUACCUCGUUUUGUUUCAUACCAUCUAGACGAACUCCCACCUGUGUCUUUCAAUAGCAUUGACGUCUCAUGUUUGCUUGCUAAGAUUGAGAAGCUAAGUGCUGAUGUUGCUAUUAUGAAGCAGGGUAUGACCAUGCAGGUUAAAGUUUCUGAUGAACUCCGCUCUAUGGCAGUGGAUCUAAAUCAGCGGCUGUGUGUGGCUGAGCCAGCUCUGGUGAGAGGCAUCAAGGCUGUGUCCUCGCAGUCUCAUAAAGAGGCUAAUCUGGGAAAGGACAAUGGAAGAGGAGCAGGGGCUCAGCCCAAAUCCCCGGCUCAACGUAGACGACAGACAAGCUGGAAUACACUGGCCAGGGAGGAGUGCUCUCAGCCUGGGCUUGGAGCUGUGAAAGCCAACGGUUCAAUGGAGGGGGGCGGUGCCGCUGCUGUGGCUUUGUCGCCGGCAUGGAACAUAGUGGCUAAGCGGGGGCUACAGGCUGCUGGAGGUGGAGUACCGGCGUUGCGGCCCAAAACAAGGCAGGAGCCUAGGCGAGACAAGAAAAUAGUUGUCGGGACUGGCCCUGGAUGUCACAUCAGGACGGUAAAGACAAAGUUGGUGAGUGUAUUUGCAACGAAAUUCUCGCCUGAGCUGGAUGUAAAUAUUCUGACAGCGUAUCUGAAAGACAAACUCUGUCAUGAUGUAACAUGUGUGAAGAUUGACACUGCGCAAAGCAGGUACAGCUCCUUCAAAGUUACUGCGGAGUGUAAUGAAGUGAAUGACAUGUACGAUCCUGGCCUUUGGCCAGACGGUGCUUUGGUGCGGCGCUUCUAUGAGGCACGCAAGCCCAGGAGCACAACUG
rnacentral:lncRNA from 1 species